CGUGGCGGCAGCUACCAUGCAGUCGAGCGGUAACAUUUCUAGCUUGCUACACGAUUGAACGAGUGGCGGACGGGUGAGUAAUGCUUGGGAACUUGCCUUUGCGAGGGGGAUAACCUGUGGAAACCACUGCUAAUACCGCAUACUGUCUUCGGAACAAAGGGGGCUUCGGCUCCCGCUAUUGGAUGAGCCCAUGUGAGAUUAGCUAGUUGGUGAGGUAACGGCUUACCAAGGCGACGAUCUCUAGCUGUUCUGAGAGGAUGAUCAGCCACACUGGGACUGAGACACGGCCCGACUCCUACGGGAGGCAGCAGUGGGGAAUAUUGCACAAUGGGGGAAACCCUGAUGCAGCCAUGCCGCGUGUGUGAAGAAGGCCUUCGGGUUGUAAAGCACUUUCAGUUGUGAGGAACGUUAGUGGUUAAUACCUGCUAGCCGUGACGUUAAUCGCAGAAGAAGCACCGGCUAACUCCGUGCCAGCAGCCGCGGUAAUACGGAGGGUGCGAGCGUUAAUCGGAAUUACUGGGCGUAAAGCGCACGCAGGCGGCUUGUUAAGCUAGAUGUGAAAGCCCCGGGCUCAACCUGGGAUGGGCAUUUAGAACUGGCAGACUAGAGUCUUGGAGAGGAAAGUGGAAUUCCCGGUGUAGCGGUGAAAUGCGUAGAUAUCUGGAGGAACAUCAGUGGCGAAGGCGACUCCCUGGACUGACACUGACACUCAUGUGCGAAAGCGUGGGUAGCGAACAGGAUUAGAUACCCUGGUAGUCCACACCGUAAACGCUGUCUACUAGCUGUGUGUGGCCUAAAGACUGUGUGGCGAAGCUAACGCGCUAAGUAGACCGCCUGGGGAGUACGGCCGCAAGGUUAAAACUCAAAUGAAUUGACGGGGGCCCGCACAAGCGGUGGAGCAUGUGGUUUAAUUCGAUGCAACGCGAAGAACCUUACCUACUCUUGACAUGCUGAGAACUUGCGAGAGAUAACUUGGUGCCUUCGGGAACUCAGACACAGGUGCUGCAUGGCUGUCGUCAGCUCGUGUCGUGAAGAUGUUGGGUUAGUCCCGCAACGAGCGCAACCCUUGUCCUUAGUUUGCCAGCGCUUAAUGGCGGCAA
rnacentral:rRNA from 1 species